CUCUGUCUUUCCUUUGCUAGUCUGAGGUCGGCUAGGCCAAGGAUCAACGCAGUUGGGGAUGAUACUGGAAUGGGAAUCGAUGUAUCCUCCAUUCCAGUGGACCCAUUAAAGGAUACUGAAACCACCCUGCCGGAAUUGCGAACGCUGGCAGGUGAUGAAGAAAGAAUUUUGCCAGAUCGGCGUGAUGCCGCAUCUGAGGCGCCCACCACAUCGAGUGCUUUGGUGACAAUUCCCGUCCCAAAAGCUACUCAGGGCUAGGAAGCUUCCAAUCAAGAGAUCCGCCCAGUAAGUUUCUGCAACUUGUCUUAUUCUUGGUCUUCUUGCGCUUUGUUUUGAUAUGCUUCCUUCAUGUUGCAGGAAAGCAGCCGAUUUUGGGUUGGGUUUGACGGAUCCACCCAUCAAAAUACCAGCCCCCAAGCUUGAUGCCGCCAUGGCAGCAUCGGCUGCGUCCCUGCUACAGGCCGCGGUCAACCCCAUCCUCCCGACGCCCGCCGCUGAAGAUACUCCCGUGGGUUUGGAGGAAGGGGCGCCCAUUAGAACAGAGGAGCAGGCCCCAGGUGAUCAUGGCGCCAUGCUGCUACUCGAAAGUCCCCAGAACCGUCUAGAUCAGCCAUCAGCAAUUGAAGAGCAAGCUAUGGCGAAUGCUGAUUUUGGGAUGGAGAUGCGCCGUCUGUCCAUAGAGGAGGGAGCAUCUGCAGAAAAUGUUCCACUGUUGGCAGAAAAGUCAGAGCAGCGCAAGAAAAACUAUCAGAGUGCCAGAACUCCCUAUCGGAACUGGCCAAGUAUGAUGCCGCCAAGUUUCUGGAGCUGGAGAAGUCCAAUGUUCAGCAUACACAAGAGAACCGGCUCCUGAAACGACAAGUGGCGCAGCUUGCCAAGGACAAAGAAGCUCUAAAAGAGAGAAACAAGUCAUUGCAAGAAAAGAAUAGAUCAAUCACAAAGAAGCAUAAAGAACUCAAAAAUUUGUUGGAAAUUAAAGAAGAUCUGGUGACUGACUUAAAGAACCUUGUGUACCGUCAUACAGAUAAAAAGGAAAGGUUCGAAAAGAUGCUCAAAGAUGCUGACAAGCAACUUGCUGAAGCUCUCCAGCAGAUCAAGAACAUGGCUGAGGAGAAAAAUCUUCGUGAAAAAGAGCUUGGAGAGCUGAAGGCUGCUGCGUAGGCUGUGGUGGACAUGGUGGAUCCACCGAGGAGAGUACCCAAGCUGACAGGACUCUGAUGGAGCGACUGCAAGGUGCUCCACUGAAGGACCGAACAAGCGACCAGAGGGGGGUGUGAAUGGGAGCCUCAAAUCCGAUUCGAAAAACCGGAGAGAAAAAGUCCCUAUUGCACCCAACGCACCUCAAACAGUAAGUAUCAGCAACGGAUAGCUCAGGACGGCUAUCAGCACUAGGAAUACCCACGCACAGAAUCUGGAACACACACACGGAAGCAAAGCAAUGAAAAGCACACGCAAAACUCGCCCACUCGCAAAAACAUACAAAAGCCGAUUAGAGAAAAAUCACCGGAAAGAAAACAUCUCAAGUACUCGAACAAAGAGAGGUUAGUACACAGAAACAAAAACUAGAAAUACUGGAAUGAAAACUAGCUAGCACUUACACUAAUUAACUAAUUUUUAUUUUGUUUUUCUUUUAACCUAGCCCUAACACAAGCUAAUAAGAGGAAAUUAAAUGAGAGAAAAGGCUUGUGUGGCAUUGCUACAAACACCUUGUGGGCGUACUGUAGCUGCUGCAGUUUCCAUCGCCUGCUACCUGCCGCUGGUUCCUGGGCACCUGCAAAAACCAAUCAAAGAGCACACCAAUGCACAGGCUAGCAGCUGCUGCAACUUGCUAGAUGUGUGCAGCAACAACCUUCAAGUAUUAAGACAAUUAAAAAGACAAGAGCUUAGGGGAAUCAAGCAGCUGCUUGCUAUACUGAUGCUGCCGCCUCUGUCACCUUCUCUGCCGAACCAAGGCCACCUCUGAGCCCUGGCGCCGCUCGCCCUGCGCCUGCCUCUGAGCGUGCACGCGAGCUGCCCUGGCCUUCGCGGGUUGGCCUCCUGGACGCCGUUGCUACUUGCCGCACGGGGCAGGCGAGUCACGCCAGCCCAAGAGCCCCUGCGCGCUGGGCUGAGCCCCGCAGCAGUGAACGCCGGACGCGUUGCCUAGCAGGGGCAGAGACGCGACGGCCUCCUGCCCGAGGGACGCCCACCGGCCCCGCUGCUGCUGUGCUUCACAAUCUGCAAGAACAAGCCAAGAGAAACCAAGAGAGGAAAACGAAAAUCUAGUGACAAAACAACUCUUUCCGACUCAAAUUAAGAACCCCGGAGGGCACAGGAGGAAAGGGCCUCCAUUCCCGUCGAAUUUCAAUAUCAAAUCUCAAGAAUCCAUAGCAAUUUCCUAAACCUAGAGAGGAGA